UUUUUUGCAUUCCAAUGCCUGAUAAAUAAUCAAUUGCCGCUCCUAAACCAAUUGCUUCCCCAAUAGCAGGCGUUCCAGCCUCAAAUCUGAUAUCACAGGAAAGUAAAUUAUAACAAGAAUUAUGCAUCAGCAAACAAGAAUGCAAGAAGAAAGAUUAGUGAUAAUGAGGCAAUGAAUAAACGAAAGAAAAUCACCACAUAGAGAUCAAAAUCCACUUAUUCAGUUUGAUGUAGAAAGGCUGCUCAAAUUAUAAAGAUUAAAGGUUUGAGAAGGUUUAAUGUAAGAUCCUUGGAUCUUAAAAAUAAAAGAAAGAUUAAAUAUAUGAAGGAGACACCGAAUGUUCAACCUGUUUGGUGUGGAUAAGAGAGGGUCGAGGCGGUAAAAGAUGAAAUUUUAUAGUACAAAAAUAGGUUAUUAGAUGAACGACAUGUUACCAGUUGUAGAUCAGAAUUCAUGCCAACAAGUAGCUCAGAAAAAAAAGGCUUGAGAACUAAUAUCAAACAACCGACUUACCCAUCAUUAACUUUUAGUAUGACCCUAAUGAUUAAUGCCAAAAUGCAAACUAUUUUGGUAGCAUACUAAGAACAAGGUUAAUACACAGAUAACUAUUGAACUAUUUCAAAAAAGUAUCAUCUAAAAAAAAUUAAAGCUGAUAAUAAAUCAAGGACUGACUAUGGAAACCAGGAUUUUCUGAAUUAAAUAUGUAUCAAAUAUCUAGCCAAUUGAACAUAAAUGUGGAAGAUAUCUUACAUAAUAAUGUUUGCAUUUUGCAAGAUGUCCAAAGAUCACUGUUACUGGAAGGUAAGGGGCAUUAGAUGGAAAUCAUGCUAUAUGUCCAUUUCAAGGUUAGAGAGGGACACAAUUCUUAAAUAUUCCAGCCGCUAAUUUCUACAAUUUCAUGAAUUCACAGGCGAUUUCAUGUGCACCCUGAAGCACGUGAAAUCUAGCGUGCUCUGUUAUAGAAACUAACCAGCGAGCAAUAAAACUGAACUUCACUUAUAAUAAAAUAUAUAAUGUAUUCUCAAAUCAAACCAGAUAUUUUUUUUUUAUUUUUUAUUUCCCACAGAUUAGGUUUUAAUAUCCAAUUUUAAAUCAAUAUCAGAUUCCCAUUUCCCAAAGGAAGCAAAUGUGGAGAGCCAUCUAUCUGCUUUUAUCUACCCCUGAUGUAGGUCGAACUGUAUAGAAGCAACUAACCUUGAUGGAGGUUCAGCUAAAGGUAGAAUGAUCUAAAAAUACGUCAGCUAUCAUGUCACCACCACCUUUGAUUCAGGGAACUCGAGAAUAACAUCAGAAAAGGCUUGACGGGUCCAUUGAUAGGAAUAAGAGACUAAGAGGGAAGCUAACCUAAAUACUUCAAGAUCAGAAGGACAGNACAGAAAAAGCUUAUUAUUGAAAAAACCAAGCCUACCUAAGAAAGGAGGCAUGGCAGACGAGCUCACUUUUACCAUAUAAGAAUCCGAUGCCUGUAGGCCCACACAUCUGAAGAAUGUUUAUUUCUUAACUUAAAA
rnacentral:lncRNA from 1 species